GUGUGCCUACGGGACGCAGCAGUGGGGGAUAUUGCACAAUGGGGGGAACCCUGAUGCAGCGACGCCGCGUGGGUGAAGAACGGUCACUGUGCUAAUCAGCAGUGAAUUGACGGUACCUGCAAAGGAAGCACCGGCUAACUCCGUGCCAGCAGCCGCGGUAAUACGGAGGGUGCGAGCGUUAAUCGGAAUUACUGGGCGUAAAGCGCUCGUAGGCGGUAUGUCAAGUCAAGGGUGAAAUCCCCGCGCUCAACGUGGGAACUGCCUUUGAAACUGGCAAACUGGAGUGUGUGAGAGGAUAGUGGAAU
rnacentral:rRNA from 1 species